ACCCAUGCACCAACGCCAUCCCAAGCUGUUUGUCCUUGGUUCACAGUUACAGGUGCCUAGGGCGCCAAAUAAGGCGUGCUUGGAAUAACACCCCCUCCUCCCACCACCUGCCGGCCCCUGCUUAUCUGGAAGGACUUCACACCCUCGAAAACCCGACUCUGAGCUUCCACAGAGUUUGCUGCAUGGCUUCCAGCCCCCUGCUGAGCCACAGCCAGCUAGCUAAGCGACGCGAGGUGCACAACGCUCUCUUCCCCCCUCUUUCCCGUGUGUUUUUAUGAACAUCCAAAGGGAAGAUAAUUAAAACCUGCAAGGAAACCGGCUGGCAGCGAAAAAGAAAAUCUUGGUGACUUGGGGACGACGCCACAUGUUUAUGGGUCUUGCUAACACUGCUGUUUGAACGUGGAGCAAUGCUAAUAUCAGGUAGCUGACAAACAUUAUUACCCCAAGUUAGAACUACCCUAGAGGAGGAUGCCGCUGCCAAGUGCUAACAGCUAGCAGAUGCACUUGUGUCUCGGGCUUCCAGCCCCGGAGUUCCGCUAGGCACCGCGCUGGCUGCCUCUGCUCUCCCUCACUGUACUACCCGGAGCUCCGAGCUCAGCCUCUGCUCUGGAGAAAACUGGACCCAAUCCAGGAUGCCACGCUGCAUUGAGUCAACAUGUCUCCUUAGUCUAGGAGACGCUGCACACAGCCAGCCUUAUUCAGUCUGCUGAAUAGGGAAUGGAUACAAAGGACGGUCCAAUGGGAAACUCUCCUCAGCUUGUGACAGGAGGCCUUCCGAUGGUGCGUCUUAGAAACGCAUCAGAGAGGAAAAUGAAAAGGAGAAAUUCUCAGAAGCAGAAGUUCUCAAAUCUCGAGGUCCCGGGAUCAGUAUCAUCAAAGAACUUAUGAGAAGUGCAAAUACUUACCGAAUUGGUAGCAGCUGCAGGGGCCUGGAUCUGUGCUGUAAAAAGCCCUACAGAUUGCCACUAAAGUUUGAGACUGCUCCAAGCAGCAGUUCUCUGUCUAGUAACCCUUAAUUCAAAUUGUAUAAUUUAAAAAUAUUAUUUUAUAAAAACAUGUUUCCUUAGCAAAUGCAACUAUUAGAUAUUAAAACACAGUCUAGAGCUGUAAUAGUUAAAACAGUGGCAAAUACUUCCAGAGCAGGAAACAAAGAUUAUUUCCAAAACCAAACAUGGAAAGGAUUUAAUGCACAGCCAACAAGUUGUUUCAAGUCAGCAGGGAAAGGAUGACAAAGGCUGAGAAUACUGCUAACCAUUUGGCAAGCAAAUAAAGGUGUUUUCCUGGUUUAUAGCAUAUGUCAAAAAUAAAUGGCAGGUAUAUUCAGGAUUUUAAUGCAAACAAUAGAAGUAUAAAAAUCAAUGCAAGAAAAUGGGCCAACAUUUCUAUAUGCUCAGAGCCAGGAAGGACGUUUAAGCAUGGCUAUGGCAAGUGAAGAAAUCAUAAAGGAAAGGAUUUAUACACAUUUUUAGGAUCCUGUAAAUUAAAAAUAGAGUAAGUGAAGUUAAAAGUCAAAGACACAGUAGAAAAUGUAUUGAUCUUGUUUACUUGCUAAGAUAUUAGUACCUCAUUCCUAUCCUUAUAGACCUUACUGGAAGGUGCAGGAGGCCAACAUGAAUGAUAUCCAAAAUGUAAAUCUGAAAUUGCAACAUAGAAAAGGGCUGAAGAGGAAAGAUGUGUGGGGAGCUAGAGGCCUGUCCUCAUUAGGCAAAAGUGGGAAAAAAUGGAGUAGGUAGGAAAAGUCUCAAAAAAUCCUAUUCCAUUUUUUGAUGCAAAGCAAACUCACAAUAAAACCAAUUGCAAUAGCAGCAAAUGGCUUUCAUGAGGACCUGAGCAGAAGCAGGUGCGUGUGGGUGGAGAGAGUAAGCAAGUGGGGGCACCCCACAGGAUUAGGCUGAAGGCCAAGAGGGGGCCGUGACAAAGAGUUUUGUCCUUUUCUUAUUGAGAAUCAAUUUGAAGGACAAGAGGCAGCAGAUACAUGAUUAGAUUUGCAAUUUGAAAGGUCACUCUGUCACGGAGAAAUGAGUGAAGAGGGGCAAGAUUGGAAGCUGGGAGACCAGGUAUAAGAGUAAGGCUGUGGGCCGGAUGAAUAGGAAGAUGAUGGAAAGAAGUGAAUAAUUUCAAUGACAAUUUACAAUACAUAUAAUGGAAAAGGGUUUAUGCCCAUCAUAUAUUUAAAAAAAAACCCAUAUGUCAGAUAAAGAUUAUUUUAAUAGUGAAAGGCUGGAAGCACUGUAAAUACACAAUGGUAUAUUCAAAAAGUGAAAUUUUAUCCAAUCAUUUAAAAUGACCAUGUCAUAUAUUAGUGGAUAUGGACACAUUUUAAUAUUAUAUUGUUUUAAGAGGAAAUAUACCACAAAAUGGAAGGAGAAUCUUUUCAGCAAAUGGUGCUGGGAUAACUGGAUACCCACAUGCAAAAUAAUGAAGUUGGACCCUCACCUAACAUCAGGCACAAAAAUUAAUUCAAAAUGGAUCACAGAUUGUGGUAGGCAGAAUGAUGAAUAUAUUACGCUACAUGGCAAAGGGGAGUUAAGAGAGCAGAGGGAAUUAAGGUGGCUAAUUAGGUGGUUUUAAAAGAGGGAGAGUAUCAGGAUACUCGGUGGGUCCAGUGUAAUCCCAAGGGUCUUGAAAUGUGGAAGGGUGAGAAAGAAGAGGAAGUUGGAGUGAUUCGAUAUGAGAAGAACUCAGUGUGCCAUUGCUGGCUUGGAAGAUGAAAGGGAGCUGUGAGCCAAAAGAGGUGGGCAGCUCUAGAACAUGGAAGAGACAAGAAGGCAGGCAUUCUUCCCUACAGACUCCACAAGGAAUGCAGCCUUAUUGACAUUUUGAUUUUAGCCUAGUGAAACCCAUUUCAGACUUUUGACUUCCAGAGCUGUAAGAAAAUCAGUUUGUGUUAGGUUACUGACCCAGAUAACUAAGUGGGAGCUAAAACUAUAAAAUCCUUAGAAGAAAACAUCAGAGUAAUUUAAUGACCUUGGGUCAUGAUGGUUUCCUAGAUAUGACACCAAAAGCACAAGCGUCAAAGGGAAAAAAAAUGGGACUUCAUCAAAAUUGAAGACUACCAUCCUGCUAGUGAUAUCAUCAAGAAAAUGAAAAGACAACCCACAAAAUAGGAGAAAAUAUUCACAAAUCAUGUCUGUUAAAGGACUUGUAUCCAGAAUAUAUACAAAAUUCUUACAAAGUAAUAAUAAAAAGAUUAUCCAGUUAAAAAUAGGCAAAGGACUUGAAUACACAUUUCUCCAAAGAGGAUACACAAAUGACCAAUAAGCACAUGAAAAGAUGCUCGACAUCAUUAGUCGUUAGGGAAAUGAAAAUCGAAACCACAAUAAAACCGUUUCAUAUCCACUAAUCAAAAAUACAGAUAAUAAAAGAUAUUGGUGAGAAUAUGCAGAACUUGGAAUCCUCAAGCACUACUGGUCGUAAUGUAAAAUGGGGCAGCCACUGUGGACAACGGUUGGGCACCUGCAACAUAAAGUUUAAUGUUAAGUACCACGUGACCCAGAAAUUCUGAUCCUAUGUAUAGAUCUAAGAAAAAUAAAAACAUAGGCCUACACAUGAACUUGAACAUGGAUGUUCAUAGCAGCAAUACUAGUAACAGCCAAAAAGUGGAAACAACUGAAGUGCCCAUCACAUGAUGCAUGGGUAAAUAAAUUGUGGUAUACCCAUACAAUGGAAUAUUAUUUGGCAAUGAAGAGAAAUCAUGGCCCUUGAAAAUAUUAUGCUCAGUGAAAGAAAGUCACAAAAGACUACUUACUAAAGACCACUUAUUAUCCACAUAAAUGAAAUGUCCUGGAGAUGCAAAUUUAUAGAGACAGAGAGUAGAAUGGUAGUUUCCUAGGUCCGAGAAGCGUGAUGAGGUUUGGGGAGGGCCUAUGAAUGGGUACAGGAUUUCUCUUUAGAGGGAUGAAAAAUCUCUGAAAAUUAGAUUGUGGCAAUGGCUGCAUUAACUCUGAAUAUACUAAAAAUAUGGUAUUGUACACUUUUAAUGGGUGAAUGGUAUAUGUGAAAUUAUUUCUUAAUAAAGUUGCUUUUUAAAAAGUA